CGAACGGGUGAGUAACGCGUGAGGAACCUGCCUCAAAGAGGGGGACAACAGUUGGAAACGACUGCUAAUACCGCAUAAGCCCACGGCUCGGCAUCGAGCAGAGGGAAAAGGAGCAAUCCGCUUUGGGAUGGCCUCGCGUCCGAUUAGCUAGUUGGUGAGGUAACGGCCCACCAAGGCGACGAUCGGUAGCCGGACUGAGAGGUUGAACGGCCACAUUGGGACUGAGACACGGCCCAG
rnacentral:rRNA from 1 species